rnacentral:ncRNA from 20 species
AGAAAAAACCAAAUAAAAGGUUGCUCAAGGGUGCCAAAAGCUUAAAAGGGAAAGCGGUGAAAACCCGCUGCAGCCCCCGCUACUGUAUACGGCGACGAAUCCGAACCCCACUGGGAAACCGGGAAGGGCGGAGGAGGUUGACCCGUGAGCCAGGAUACCUGCCCUUGAGGAAUGCCGGUCC